rnacentral:tRNA from 1 species
AUAUUAUUGGCAGAUAAAUGCAUUAGAAUUAGAAUCUAAUCAACUAUUAAUCCUAUU